ensembl:lincRNA D6Ertd474e DNA segment, Chr 6, ERATO Doi 474, expressed
AUACACUCAGUCUUCAGGAGGAGGCAUCCCCUCUGGGUGCAGAACUUCCACCGUGGCUGCUUGCUCAGGAUAAACUGGUGGGACCAUGACUCAUUUUGUCACUGGGACCACAGGAGGAGGGGCCAGAAGACAAUGAAGUGUGCGGUGAGCACUCUCACAUUUCGUUAGAUGCACCGUCUCUGAACCAGCUUACUCAGAACUUCAGGAUGGCGGUGUGCAGUUACCAACUGUUAAGUCAAAGAUUCUGGACUGUUUAGGAUGCUUCACCGUGUGCUCCAUAAGCUACUCAUCUGAUGUUUCAUAGGAAGCAGAAGAAAUUCCCAGCAAAGUGACCUGUGUUGCAAGACUCAAAAGAGGGAGAGAGAGAGUUGGCUCAGCUGGUGAAGAGCUUGAUGGACAUGAAGACCUGAGCUUGGAUCUCCCAACAUCUUUGUGAAAGGACGGGCACAGCCCCUGAAUCUCCAGAGCUGUGACAAUGGAAGCAAUGGAUCCUCAGAGCUUGCUGGCCAGCCAACCUGCUUGAGUUCAGCUCUAGAUUCUGUGUGACCCUGACUCAAAAACUAAGGCGUGGAGUGACUGAAGAAGAGAUCUGAUGUCAACCACUUGUUCUUAUUUACACACACACACACACACUCUUAAAUAAAAAUUAAAUUAUUUGUUGAAAAUGACAAAAAGAUGGACACCAUUCAGUUAGAAG